AAGUGGAGCAAUCCAUGAGUAUAGUGGCGACCGGGUGAGUAACACGUGACUACCUGCCCUUGAGUGGGGGAUAACCUCGGGAAACCGAGGCUAAUACCGCAUAAUAUCGCAAGAUCAAAGGAGCAAUCCGCUUUUGGAGGGGGUCGCGGCUGAUUAGCUAGUUGGUAGGGUAAUGGCCUACCAAGGCGAAGAUCGGUAUCCGGCCUGAGAGGGCGCACGGACACACUGGAACUGAAACACGGUCCAGACUCCUACGGGAGGCAGCAGUGGGGAAUUUUGCGCAAUGGGGGAAACCCUGACGCAGCAACGCCGCGUGGAGGAUGAAGCCCCUUGGG
rnacentral:rRNA from 1 species